rnacentral:sRNA from 1 species
CCUCACCUCGUUUGCGAUCCUGAUCGCGUC